rnacentral:lncRNA from 1 species
CAGUUCGAAAACUGCCCAGUCCGGGCAGUGCACAAUGUUAAUUGUUGAGGGGCUCAUCAGGAUUUUGUUACAUUAGAAGGCUUUUAGAGCCUUUCUCCUCUCUCUUUCUCUCAUUUUCACCCCUUCACACCCACACUAGAGAGAGAAAGAGAAGGAGAAGAAGGAGAAGAAGAAGAAGAAGAAGGAGGGGAGAGGAGCUUACUUGGAGGCCUUGGAGCAUCAUCUUCUUCCUCAUUUCUCACCUUGGUGGCUUGGAGCUUGCGGUUGGAGCCUUGUGGAGGAUCAAACUUCAACCCUACUUGGUUUAGAGCUUGGAUUGAAGCUUCUCUUGAGGUUGGUAGCUUGUAUUCCUCAUCUAAUAUAAGUUUUUCUAGAUUUU